AGUGAACGCUGGCGGUAGGCCUAACACAUGCAAGUCGAACGGCAGCACAGUAAGAGCUUGCUCUUACGGGUGGCGAGUGGCGGACGGGUGAGGAAUACAUCGGAAUCUACUUUUUCGUGGGGGAUAACGUAGGGAAACUUACGCUAAUACCGCAUACGACCUACGGGUGAAAGCAGGGGAUCUUCGGACCUUGCGCGAUUGAAUGAGCCGAUGUCGGAUUAGCUAGUUGGCGGGGUAAAGGCCCACCAAGGCGACGAUCCGUAGCUGGUCUGAGAGGAUGAUCAGCCACACUGGAACUGAGACACGGUCCAGACUCCUACGGGAGGCAGCAGUGGGGAAUAUUGGACAAUGGGCGCAAGCCUGAUCCAGCCAUACCGCGUGGGUGAAGAAGGCCUUCGGGUUGUAAAGCCCUCUUGUUGGGAAAGAAAAGCAGCAGGUUAAUACCCCGCUGCUCUGACGGUACCCAAAGAAUAAGCACCGGCUAACUUCGUG
rnacentral:rRNA from 1 species